rnacentral:rRNA from 1 species
GACGAACGCUGGCGGCGUGCUUAACACAUGCAAGUCGAACGAUGAAGAAAAGAAUUGAAGCUUCGGCAGAAAUUCAUUUCGGAUUAGUGGCAGACGGGUGAGUAACGCGUGAGCAACCUACCUCUUACAAAGGGAUAGCCUCGGGAAACCGGGAUUAAUACCAUAUAACAUUGCGACGAAGCAUUUCGAUGCAAUCAAAGCUACGGCGGUAAGAGAUGGGCUCGCGUCCCAUUAACCAGAUGGUGAGGUAACGGCUCACCAUAGUAACGAUGGGUAACCGGCCUGAGAGGGUGAACGGUCACACUGGAACUGAGACACGGUCCAGACUCCUACGGGAAGCAGCAGUGGGGAAUAUUGCACAGUGGAGGGAACUCUGAUGCAGCGACGCCGCGUGAGUGAUGAAGGAAUUCGUUUCGUAAAACUCUGUUCUAUGGGAAGAAAAGGACUGUACCAUAGGAGAAAGCUCCGGCUAAAUACGUG